AGUGGGCGCGCACUGUAGCUGUUCCCACUCAAUGUUCUUGAAGCCAAAAUACGCCGCUUAGGGGCGCUUCCAUCUUGCGAUUUUGACGUCAUUUGGAGCCAGAGUCUGCGCAGUAGGGUCCGGGGGCAGGAGCCCUAGUAACACGCCCCGCCCAUUUAGCGUACUGCCCUGAUGACUUACGCAGCCCAGCUACGGCGAAAGCGCUCUGCCGGUCUACGAGUCUUAUGAAGAAAUGUGCAAAGAGAUAAAAGCAGCAGGUCUGACAUCUUCCACAGAGGCGAAGUUGGUCAGGCUGGGGUCACAUAGUUUGAAGGAACCUCCUCCUUCUUUCACCUGUGCCAGAUGCCCUGCUCAUCCACUGUGGUAGAAAUGACCUUACACCAGCAGCUCUCCCAGAUAAAGAGUCCUCUCUGCCAUCACCCAGAGGAGCUGAUCGACGUCUGCACAACUGAAGAAGGUGGACAGAGUCUGGAGCUUUGUGACAGUGAACAGUGAGAAGGCUACCAUAGUCAUCCUCAGAUAAAACACAGAGAUCCUGGUCAAUAUUCAAUGCUGCUAUUUUUCUUUCCAUGAUGUUGCCCUGUGUUUGAAAGGCCAGAUGCUGGAGGGUUGUGUUGGAUUUGCUUUUCCAUCAUAUUUUAAC